rnacentral:rRNA from 1 species
GGGAAUAUUGCACAAUGGGGGAAACCCUGAUGCAGCGACGCCGCGUGAGUGAAGAAGUAUUUCGGUAUGUAAAGCUCUAUCAGAAAGAACGAGACAAGACGGUACCUGACUAAGAAGCCCCGGCUGACUACGUGCCAGCAGCCGCGGUAAUACGUAGGGGGCAAGCGUUAUCCGGAAUCACUGGGUGUAAAGGGAGCGUAGACGGCUGAGCAAGCCUGAAGUGAAAGGCGGGGGCCCAACCCCCGGACUGCUUUGGGAACUGUACGGCUGGAGUGCAGGAGAGGUAAGUGGAAUUCCUAGUGUAGCGGUGAAAUGCGUAGAUAUUAGGAGGAACACCAGUGGCGAAGGCGGAUUGCUGGACAGUAACUGACGCUGAGGCGCGAAAUCGUGGGGAGCAAACAGG